rnacentral:lncRNA from 1 species
GGGGAUCAAUAUCAUGAGUAGGCGAGGAAGAAACAAUAACAGAAGCUAAAAUAUAAACCGACACCCUGGGUUUAGAUUACUAGAUACACACACAAACACACAUUGUUGCCUCGAUUGUUUCCUCUCCACCGAUCAACCCACGUACGCAUGCACACAAGAUGAGUAUCUUCACUUCUGCUCUGCUCUAGUUAGACUCGAGCUGCGCGUACCACACACCCUGGAUCUUGACAUCCUUGGGCGCCUUGGCGCCGAGGUCGGUGUCUGACGGCUGCACGCUCUCGAAGACGCCGAUCACCUCGCCGGUCUCCGGCUUGCUCUUGGUGACGCUGAGCGUGAUGUUGCCCGUGGAGGAGGACGCGUUCUUCACGUUCUCCUUGGCCAACUCCUCCUCGUCUCCUCUGCCUCCGGCGGGUAGCGCCACGGCGUUGUCGUAGCCAGUAGAGCCACCACGGCCCUUUGGGUCGAGGAAAGACGAACCCCUGUAGCUGGGCACGAGGAAGGGCCCGCUGAAGCUCUCGGGCUUGCCGGUGGCGACGAGCUGCUUGACGGUGAAGAGGAAGGGCACGCGCUCGCCUCCGGGGAGCUGCACGGUGACGGCCGCGUAGUCGAUGCCGUCCUUCUCCUCGAACUUGAGGGUGCCGUCGGCGCCGACCUCGAGCGGGCCUUCCAUCUCGUCAAGGGUGUAGGUGAGACGGGUCAUGAGCUUGGUCUUCUGGAAGGCCGGCGGCUCGUUCUUCUGGAUGCCCUCGGCCUUGACGGUGAAGGAGGUGGGCUCCAGGCAGAACUUCUUCAUCUCGUACUUGCCGGCCUUGAAGGGGAAGGAGUCGACGCCGCCGUCGAUGGUCGGGCACUGGUUCGCGGUGCCGGUACCCUUCACCUCCAUGUAGGUCUUGCUCUGGAUCUCGUCGAAGGUCAGCCUCUUGGGC